rnacentral:lncRNA from 1 species
AUCCUCGCCCGGCGCCUCACUCACCAAGGGCCGCGCCGGGGUUCUGCACUGUCACUGCGCUGCGGUUCCCCGCCUUAGGGAUUCUCACACGGUUCCACGGCUCCAGGCCCGGCGGCACCGCAGCCAUCAUGCGAGGCGGGGGGACUUACGAAAGGCGGAGCUACGCGAGAGCACGUCCAGCGACCGGAGUCUGGAACAGUUCCUCGUUCUUUCUCUGGCUCUGGAUCUGCGUCCCUGACAGUCUUAAAGAGGACAGACCUUUCAUUCAUGAGGAUGACCCUCAACUUGGCCCAGUCCAUGUUUCCUCAGACUCAAGCCUUGCAUUCCUGGCAGAAAGACUGAAGAAAUGAUGCUGUGCUCUUCUCAGUGCUUCGCGUCAGGAGGCUCUACUCUCUCAACCGGCCCCACUAUUGGGACUUCUGGAAUCCAUCUGCAAGGAAUGCCAGCUGGUGGCUCUUAAAUACCCAGAAACCUAACAAAGAGUACUGGACAAUGUGGAAACUUAAGAAGUGGGACAACAUAGGCACUACCAGCUAUCGGGGUGUAAGAGAGGGGAGUUAUGGGUGAAUUGCAUUCAGUGAAGGCUUCACAGAGGAAGAGAAGGUGAACCUGAGUCUUAAGAUUUAGUUAUACAAAGAGAAAGCAAGGGAAUUUCAGGUUGGAAGGACUAUGCAGGGAAAAGGGAAAAUAAAAGAGUCUGUUGAGAGCCAAUGUAUGAGAGUCUGACUGGAUGAAUUCACUGGAGAAAUUGAAUACUCUGUACAACAACCUCUCACCACCUCCAGCCUCCAAGUGCCAUGCCAGCUCCAUCCAUGGUUGUUUAUGAGUCUCUAGACAGGGAUGACCAUUCCAUGGUUGAAGCCGGUAGAUCAGAGAAGGCACACGUAAUGUUUACCUGCAAAGAAUAUGGCAGAACCUCUCAUGAAGUUUUAAGAUCAAAUGGAGAAAAGUUGCCUGCAGAAAAGCAUGAUUAAAUAAAUUUAUAGCUGGUUUAAUCACUUGA